rnacentral:rRNA from 1 species
CCUACGGGAGGCUGCAGUGGGGAAUAUUGCACAAUGGGGGAAACCCUGAUGCAGCGACGCCGCGUGAGUGAAGAAGUCAUUCGUUAUGUAAAGCUCUAUUAGCAGGGAAGAAAAUGACGGUACCUGAGUAAGAAGCCCCGGCUAACUACGUGCCAGCAGCCGCGGGAAUACGUAGGGGGCAAGCGUUAUCCGGAUUUACUGGGGGUAAAGGGAGCGUAGACGGCAGUGCAAGUCUGGAGUGAAAGGCGGGGGCUCAACCCCCGGACUGCUCUGGAAACUGUACGGCUGGAGUGCAGGAGAGGUAAGUGGAAGGCGUGGUGUAGCGGUGAAAUGCGUAGAUAUUAGGAAGAACACCAGUGGCGAAGGCAGCUUACUGGAGUGUAACUGACGUUGAGGCUCGAAAGCGUGGGGAGCAAACAGGAUUAGAUACCCUGGUAGUC